rnacentral:rRNA from 1 species
UUGACACGGGGUGUUAACGGAAGCCGGGAAAGGAAAGACCGGUCCAAGCACAGGAGGCGUUGCGCAGGCAAAUCCGCGCAAUAAGCCAAAGGUGUGACGGGGAGCGAAAUUAUAGUAGCGAAGUCCGGAUACAUGCUGUCAAGAAAAGCCGCUAUUGCGCCAUAUGUACCCGUACCGUAAACCGACACAGGUGGAUGAGGAGAGAAUCCUAAGGCCGGCGGGAGAAGUGUUGUUAAGGAACUCGGCAAAAUGGCCCCGUAACUUCGGGAGAAGGGGCGCCCAGAAAUGGGCCGCAGAGAAAAGGCUCAAGCAACUGUUUAGCAAAAACACAGGUCUAUGCGAAACCGAAAGGUGAGGUAUAUGGGCUGACGCCUGCCCGGUGCUGGAAGGUUAAGGGGGAGGUUAGCCGCAAGGCGAAGCUUUGAACUUAAGCCCCAGUAAACGGCGGCCGUAACAAUAACGGUCCUAAGGUAGCGAAAUUCCUUGUCGGGUAAGUUCCGACCCGCACGAAAGGCGUAAUGAUUUGAGCACUGUCUCGACAACACACCCGGUGAAAUUGAAAUACCAGUGAAGAUGCUGGUUACCUGCGCCAGGACGGAAAGACCCCAUGGAGCUUUACUCUAGUUUGAUACUGGGACCCGGUAUGACUUGUACAGGAUAGGUGGGAGGCAGAGAAUUAAUGACGCCAGUCAUUAAGGAGCCGCUGUUGGGAUACCACCCUUGUGAUGCCAGGUUUCUAACGAGCUGCCGUGAACCGGCAGGCGGACAAUGUCAGGCGGGGAGUUUGACUGGGGCGGUCGCCUCCGAAAGGGUAUCGGAGGCGCUCAAAGGUUCCCUCAGAAUGGUUGGAAACCAUUCGGAGAGUGCAAAGGCAGAAGGGAGCCUGACUGCGACACCGACGGGUGGAGCAGGUACGAAAGUAGGACUUAGUGAUCCGGUGGUAUAAAGUGGGAUUGCCAUCGCUCAACGGAUAAAAGCUACCCUGGGGAUAACAGGCUUAUCACUCCCAAGAGUUCACAUCGACGGAGUGGUUUUGGCACCUCGAUGCCGGCUCAUCGCAUCCUGGGGCUGGAGUAGGUCCCAAGGGUUGGGCUGUUCGCCCAUUAAAGCGGUACGCGAGCUGGGUUCAGAACGUCGUGAGACAGUUCGGUCCCUAUCCGGCGCGGGCGUAAGAGAUCUGAGAGGAGCUGUCCUUAGUACGAGAGGACCGGGAUGGACGGACCACUGGUGUAUCUGUUGCACCACCAGGUGCACGGCAGAGUAGCCAAGUCCGAACGGGAUAAACGCUGAAGGCAUCUAAGCGUGAAGCCCCCCUCAAGAUGAGAUCUCUCAUUCGAAAGAAGUAAGACCCCUUGAAGACGACGAGGUAGAUAGGGCAGGGGUGGAAGGGCAGUAAUGUCCGGAGCUGACUGUUACUAAUCGGUCGAGGGCUUGACU